GAUGAAGAACGUAGCGAAAUGCGAUAAGUAAUGUGAAUUGCAGAAUUCAGUGAAUCAUCGAAUCUUUGAACGCACAUUGCGCCCGCCAGUAUUCUGGCGGGCAUGCCUGUUCGAGCGUCAUUUCAACCAUCAAGCCCCCGGGCUUGUGUUGGGGACCUGCGGCUGCCGCAGGCCCUGAAAAGCAGUGGCGGGCUCGCUGUCACACCGAGCGUAGUAGAUUUUAGCUCGCUCUGGGCGUGCUGCGGGUUCCGGCCGUUAAACCACCCUUUUAACCCAAGGUUGACCUCGGAUCAGGUAGGAAGACCCGCUGAACUUAAGCAUAUCAAUAAGCGGAGGA
rnacentral:misc_RNA from 1 species